AAGCUUGACUUCUUUGCUGACGAGUGGCGGACGGGUGAGUAAUGUCUGGGAAACUGCCUGAUGGAGGGGGAUAACUACUGGAAACGGUAGCUAAUACCGCAUAACGUCGCAAGACCAAAGAGGGGGACCUUCGGGCCUCUUGCCAUCGGAUGUGCCCAGAUGGGAUUAGCUAGUAGGUGGGGUAACGGCUCACCUAGGCGACGAUCCCUAGCUGGUCUGAGAGGAUGACCAGCCACACUGGAACUGAGACACGGUCCAGACUCCUACGGGAGGCAGCAGUGGGGAAUAUUGCACAAUGGGCGCAAGCCUGAUGCAGCCAUGCCGCGUGUAUGAAGAAGGCCUUCGGGUUGUAAAGUACUUUCAGCGGGGAGGAAGGGAGUAAAGUUAAUACCUUUGCUCAUUGACGUUACCCGCAGAAGAAGCACCGGCUAACUCCGUGCCAGCAGCCGCGGUAAUACGGAGGGUGCAAGCGUUAAUCGGAAUUACUGGGCGUAAAGCGCACGCAGGCGGUUUGUUAAGUCAGAUGUGAAAUCCCCGGGCUCAACCUGGGAACUGCAUCUGAUACUGGCAAGCUUGAGUCUCGUAGAGGGGGGUAGAAUUCCAGGUG
rnacentral:rRNA from 1 species